GUUUCUUUUUAAAAUUUACCAGAAAGGGAUUAUGUCAAAGGUGUACUGUUUUUAACCUCAAAAAAUUUUAGGCUUGUGCAUCUCUAUAAUCAUAUAUCUGUAUCUUACUUAAACUGUUAAUAUUUUUUUUAAAACUCCCAUUCAGUUAUUUUUAUUAUUUUUUUUAAUAGAUUCCUCAGGCACCUAAUUUUUGCCACACUCCUAGUUCCCAGCUUACUGGCUUUCUCGGUCAGCACACGACCUCCCUAAAUCUCCCAGGAACAUCACAUACUGUGCUCACCUGAGCAUCUCAGUCCCGGAUGAAGAUGAGCCAUCAGGAAGGAAAUGAAAACGCAGCCUGGGACCGCCUGCUCCUGCCCUUCUGAGCUCGUCUCCUGCUGUUUCUGCAGUGCCCAGUCCCUUCCACUUCUCCCAGCUCCUCCUGCUACCUGCUGAGUGACCUGCCUGACCCGGAGUCUUUUAGACCUGCCCUGCCUGCAUCGUCCACUAUGAUUACCUGUUAGCCAAUAGAGCUAUUAAUUAAGAAUGAAGACUUCCUUUCUGGACUUCCCUGGUGAAGACUCCCUGCUCCCAAUGCAGGGGGCCCAGGUUUGCUUCCUGGUCAGGGUUCUAGAUCCCCCAUGCCGCAACCAGGAGUUCUCACUCCACAACAGAAGAGUCCACACGCUGCGACUAAGGCGUGGCACAGCCAGGUAAAGACGUAUCUUUUUAAAAAUAAAUAAAUCCCACCUUUAGAAUGGAGCUUCAUGAAGGCAGGGACAGUGUGAAGUGGCGUUCUUCACUGGAGCCCUGUUCCACCGUUGGUCGCUCAGUCGGGUCCGACUUGGAACCCCUUGGACUGUAGCCCGCCGGGCUCCUCUGUCCGUGGGGUUUCCAAGGCAAGAAUACUGGAGUGGGUUGCCAUUUCCUUCUCCAGGGCACCUUCUUGACCCAGGGACCAAACCCGGGCCUCCUGCAUUGCAGGCAGACUCUUUACCACUGAGCCACAUGGGAAGUCUCACUGGGGCCCUAGGGUCUGGUAGAUAAUAAGCGUCCAGGAGACAUUUAAUGAACAAGUAAAUAUCCAACAUGAACAAACAAAUAUGCAAAGGUGACAGUUGCUUCUGUCAAGAGCUUCCGGAUGUGCUUUUUCCCCAAGAUUGUGUUACGUUAGAUUUUUAUUUAGAAAUCCAUCCACUCCAGAAAAAAGGGAGGAACAUUUCACACCCGCUUAUAAGCCACUAGCUUCCAGCCAGUACCCGAGUUCUCUGCAGGCCCCCAGUGGCCGUGAAAUGAAUGACAACUAGGUCCCUUAGAGACCCUUGGCAGGAGUGCUGCUAAUACAGCUUCCUGCUCCUUGAGGAGAUUGGUGUGCCGCCUGUUCCCUGGGCCCCUCUGCUGCUGGAGAGCCCCUUUGGCAGCCAAGGAAGGCCCUUGGCAGAGGGGAACCUGUGUGUGGCCCACCAGCCUGGAGAGUGUCACCAACCUAGUCAUCCCUGCAGUGGAAAGAGUGCCCUGAGCCUGGGGCGAACAUGACACAGUGGCCUUUUUAAAGGUUAUAAUGGUUGAGGGUUUUUUGGUUAUUGUUUUAAAUGCAAAUUGUAUAUAGAAGAAGGUUUAGUGUGUGGUGGGAAAAGCUUAUGUGUGUUUAGGAGCCUCUUCCACCAAAUGAGACCCAAGUCCCAGGUGGCUCCAGUGGUAAAGAACCUGUCUGCCAAUGCAGGAGACUUCAGACACGUGAGUUCGAUCCCUGGGUGGGGGAGAUGCCCUGGAGAAGGAAAUGGC
ensembl:lncRNA